GUUUUAACCCUGCAGCUGAAAACAUAGCAGUUUCAGAGAAACUGCUAUGUUUCACUGAGGGUUAAUCCAGCCUCUAGUGGCUGUCUCACUGACAGCCGCUAGAGGAGCACACUGAACGUCCAUAGGAAGGCAUUGAGUAAUGCUUUCCUAUGGGCGGUUUGAAUGCGUGCGCGGUCGCAUUCGGAGCUGAGAGGCUGAGGGAUCC